rnacentral:rRNA from 1 species
AGAUUAAGUUAUUAAGGGCGCACGGUGGAUGCCUUGGCACUAGAAGCCGAUGAAGGACGUUACUAACGACGAUAUGCUUUGGGGAGCUGUAAGUAAGCUUUGAUCCAGAGAUUUCCGAAUGGGGAAACCCAGCAUGAGUUAUGUCAUGUUAUCGAUAUGUGAAUACAUAGCAUAUCAGAAGGCACACCCGGAGAACUGAAACAUCUUAGUACCCGGAGGAAGAGAAAGAAAAUUCGAUUCCCUUAGUAGCGGCGAGCGAAACGGGAAGAGCCCAAACCAACAAGCUUGCUUGUUGGGGUUGUAGGACACUCUAUACGGAGUUACAAAGGACGACAUUAGACGAAUCAUCUGGAAAGAUGAAUCAAAGAAG